GGCUUUUCUCUCUUGUUUGUUUAUCGCGCUAAACAACAGCAGCACGUUUAAGCUUGAUCAGCUGUUGUUAGAAUUCAUUUGAUUUUAAUUUCUAGUAUCAGCUGAUGUUUGCUGGAGCCACAGCUGUAGAAGCGGCUGGUCGAAACCAGGAGAUGACCUUACUGAAUCAUCAGAGCUGAACUGGUGAUGGAGAAACAGGUUUACCUUUUUUUUUAGGUGACAUGAAUGAGUUGAAGGGAAGUUAUGAACUGUUUCUGAGAGAAAUAAACACCAAGCUCCUUUUUUUUAUUUAGCUGACAGCUGGUAACUGUGCAGGGGCGGAUCUAGCAAAGCUUUUGCCAGGGGGCCAGGUAGGGCAUUAACAGAGAAAGGUGGACACAAAGAUAUACUUUUCUUUCUUACUCUCAUACAGGGAGUGCAGAAUUAUUAGGCAAGUUGUAUUUUUGAGGAAUAAUUUUAUUAUUGAACAACAACCAUGUUCUCAAUGAACCCAAAAACACAUUAAUAUCAAAGCUGAAUGUUUUCGGAAGUAGUUUUUAGUUUGUGUUUAGUUUUAGCUAUUUU
ensembl:lncRNA